rnacentral:rRNA from 1 species
GACGAACGCUGGCGGCGUGCUUCAUACAUGCAAGUCGAACGAUAAUCUGACUUCGGUCAGAGGAAAGUGGCGGACGGGUGAGUAAUAUGUAGGAAAUCUGCCUUAGAGAGGGGGACAACAGAGGGAAACUUCUGCUAAUACCCCAUAUGAGCUACCUUGAAAUAGGUAUCUUGAAAACUCCGGUGCUCUAAGAUGAGCCUGCAUCUGAUUAGCUUGUUGGUGGGGUAAUGGCCUACCAAGGCGACGAUCAGUAGCUGGUUUGAGAGGAUGAUCAGCCACAAUGGGACUGAGACACGGCCCAUACUCCUACGGGAGGCUG